rnacentral:rRNA from 1 species
GAUGAACGCUGGCGGCAUGCCUAAGACAUGCAAGUCGUACGAAGUGGCCCAUUGAUGAUUGAGUGCUUGCACAAGAUUUGAUUUGGAUUCCCACUUAGUGGCGCAAGGGUGAGUAACGCGUAGGUUAUCUGCCUUCGAGUUUGGAAUAACAAUUAGAAAUGAUUGCUAAUGCCGGAUUAUAUUUAAGAUGAUACGUUGUCUUAAAUUAAAAGGAGCCUUUAAAGCUUCGCUUGAAGAUGAGCCUGCGUCGUAUUAGCUAGUUGGUGGGGUAAUGGCCUACCAAGGCAACGAUGCGUAGCCGACCUGAGAGGGUGAUCGGCCACACUGGGACUGAGACACGGCCCAGACUCCUACGGGAGACAGCAGUUAGGAAUAUUCGUCAAUGGGGGAAACCCUGAACGAGCAAUGCCGCGUGAAGGAUGACGGUCCUUUGGAUUGUAAACUUCUGUUGUUAGGGAAGAACAAACUGUAUAGGAAAUGAUACAGUUC